AUUGAACGCUGGCGGCAGGCUUAACACAUGCAAGUCGAGCGGGGUGAUGGUGCUUGCACUAUCACUUAGCGGCGGACGGGUGAGUAAUGCUUAGGAAUCUGCCUAUUAGUGGGGGACAACAUCUCGAAAGGGAUGCUAAUACCGCAUACGUCCUACGGGAGAAAGCAGGGGAUCACCUGUUACCUUGGGCUAAUAGAUGAGCCGAAGUAGGAUUAGCUAGGUGGUGGGGUAAAGGCCUACCAAGGCGACGAUCUGUAGCGGGGCUGAGAGGAUGAUCCGCCACACUGGGACUGAGACACGGCCCAGACUCCUACGGGAGGCAGCAGUGGGGAAUAUUGGACAAUGGGGGGAAACCUGAUCCAGCCAUGCCGCGUGUGUGAAGAAGGCCUUAUGGUUGUAAAGCACUUUAAGCGAGGAGGAGGCUUACCUAGUUAAUACCUGGGAUAAGUGGACGUUACUCGCAGAAUAAGCACCGGCUAACUCUGUGCCAGCAGCCGCCGCGG
rnacentral:rRNA from 1 species